UACGGGGGGAGCAAGCGUUGUUCGGAUUUACUGGGCGUAAAGGGCGCGUAGGCGGCGCAACAAGUCACUUGUGAAAUCUCCGGGCUUAACCCGGAGCGGCCAAGUGAUACUGUCGUGCUAGAGUGCGGAAGGGGCUACUGGAAUUCUCGGUGUAGCGGUGAAAUGCGUGGAUAUCGAGAGGAACACCUGCGGCGAAGGCGGGUAGCUGGGCCGACACUGACGCUGAGGCGCGAAAGCCAGGGGAGCGAACGGG
rnacentral:rRNA from 1 species